rnacentral:rRNA from 1 species
AGACGUCUACAUUAGAUACCCCCUGUAGUCCCAGCCCUAAACGAUGCGCGUUAGGUGUAUCGGUGACCACGAGUCACCGAGGUGCCGAAGGGAAACCGUGAAACGUGCCGCCUGGGAAGUACGGUCGCAAGGCUGAAACUUAAAGGAAUUGGCGGGGAGCACCACAACGGGUGGAGCCUGCGGUUUAAUUGGACUCAACGCCGGGAAGCUCACCGGAUAAGACAGCGGAAUGAUUGCCGGGCUGAAGACCCUGCAUGACCAGCUG